rnacentral:rRNA from 1 species
UACGGAGGGCGCGAGCGUUAGGCGGAAUCACUGGGCUUAAAGCGUGUGUAGGCGGAUGCCUAAGUGCCUUGUGAAAUCCCACGGCUUAACCGUGGAAUUGCUGGGCAUACUGGGUGUCUUGAGCCACUCAGGGGCUACCGGAACAAAUGGUGGAGCGGUGAAAUGCGUAGAUAUCAUUUGGAACGCCAAUGGUGAAAACAGGUAGCUGGGGGUGUGCUGACACUCAGACACGAAAGCCAGGGGAGCAAACAGG